ACUGUUAUUUAUUCUUAUAUACUUUUAUUCCAAUUUUGGUAAAUAAUAUUGAAUAGUUUAUUCAAAAUAUUUUAGAAAUUACAUAAAUUUUUUGCCGAAAUAGAUUGUUUGAAGAGAGAAGCCAUGAGAAACUUCAGUAGAGACACUUGUGGGUGAUCAUAUGAAUAGAUAGAUGUUCAUGAAAAUAUUCAUAUUUAUAGAGGUGGAAUCGAUUAAUAAAUAUGAAUAGGAAAAUGAAAAGUGAAAGGGCAUGCAUGCAUAUAUAGGAAAAUGAAAAGUGAAAGGGCAUGCAUGCAUAUAUACGUUUUAAGAAAUGUAAGGUCUCUUAGAUUGAGGUGUAAUAAUAAUUAAUCAAUUAAUGGUAGUGGGAGAAACAAAAUUAAGGGAUUUGUAACAUCUUAAUUAAUUAUUAAGGAAUGUGGAGGGUUUUUAAUUAGCUAGUGGGAAAAUUUGGGUCAUA
rnacentral:lncRNA from 1 species